rnacentral:tRNA from 6 species
AAGGCUUUAGCUUAAUUAAAGUGUCUGUUUUGCAUACAGGAGAUGUGGGGUAGUGUCCUGCAAGUCUUA